AACGCACCUUGCGCUCCUUGGUAUUCCGAGGAGCAUGCCUGUUUGAGUGUCAUUAAUAUAUAUAUAUCAAACUUCUCUUAUUGAGUGGUUUGGAUGUGGGGGUUUGCUGGCCUUUUUAAAAGGUUCAGCUCUCCUGAAAUGCAUUAGCAGAACAAACCUGUUCAUUGGUGUGAUAACUAUCUACGCUAUUGAAUGUGAGGGGCAGUUCAGCUUUCUAACAGUCCUUGGACAAUUCAUCAUUAAUGUGACCUCAAAUCAGGUAGGACUACCCGCUGAACUUAA
rnacentral:misc_RNA from 1 species